CCGGUUUGGCUCAGUGGAUAGAGCGUCGGCCUGCGGACUGAAAGGUCCCAGGUUCGAUUCCGGUCAAGGGCGUGUGCCUGGUGGGAGAUGUGCGGGAGGCAGCUGAUCGAUGUUUCUCUCUCAUCGAUGUUUCUGGCUCUCUAUCUCUCUCCUUUCCUCUCUGUAAAAAAUCAAUAAAAUAUAUUUAAAAAAAAAAAAAAAAAAAGAAA